UACGUAGGGGGCAAGCGUUGUCCGGAUUUAUUGGGCGUAAAGAGCGUGUAGGCGGCCAUGUAGGUCCGUUGUGAAAACUCGAGGCUCAACCUCGAGACGCCGAUGGAAACCAUCUGACUAGAGUCCGGAAGAGGAGAGUGGAAUUCCUGGUGUAGCGGUGAAAUGCGCAGAUAUCAGGAAGAACACCCGUGGCUAAGGCGGCUCUCUAGUACGUGACUGACGCUGAGACACGAAAGCGUGGGGAGCGAACAGG
rnacentral:rRNA from 1 species